GUGGCGAGUGGCGAACGGGUGAGUAAUGCAUCGGAACGUGCCCAACUGUGGGGGAUAGCUCGGCGAAAGCCGGAUUAAUACCGCAUACGAUCCACGGAUGAAAGCGGGGGACCUUCGGGCCUCGCGCAGUUGGAGCGGCCGAUGUUAGAUUAGGUAGUUGGUGGGGUAAAGGCUCACCAAGCCGACGAUCUAUAGCUGGUCUGAGAGGACGACCAGCCACACUGGGACUGAGACACGGCCCAGACUCCUACGGGAGGCAGCAGUGGGGAAUUUUGGACAAUGGGCGCAAGCCUGAUCCAGCAAUACCGCGUGCAGGAAGAAGGCCUUCGGGUUGUAAACUGCUUUUGUACGGAACGAAAAGGUCUGGGUUAAUACCCUGGGCUCAUGACGGUACCGUAAGAAUAAGCACCGGCUAACUACGUGCCAGCAGCCGCGGUAAUACGUAGGGUGCAAGCGUUAAUCGGAAUUACUGGGCGUAAAGCGUGCGCAGGCGGUUAUGUAAGACAGGCGUGAAAUCCCCGGGCUCAACCUGGGAAUUGCGCUUGUGACUGCAUAACUAGAGUACGGUAGAGGGGGAUGGAAUUCCGCGUGUAGCAGUGAAAUGCGUAGAUAUGCGGAGGAACACCAAUGGCGAAGGCAGUCCCCUGGACCUGUACUGACGCUCAUGCACGAAAGCGUGGGGAGCAAACAGGAUUAGAUACCCUGGUAGUCCACGCCCUAAACGAUGUCAACUGGUUGUUGGGUAUUUACUUACUCA
rnacentral:rRNA from 1 species